rnacentral:lncRNA from 1 species
GAAGAUGCCAGUCAUUUUAACUUUGUGAGAUGAGAGACAUCAUUGCCUAGUAAUCUAGGAAGUCACCCAGGAACUCAGUAUUGAGGAAGCUUUGGCUAUAAGUAUACUUAUAAACAAAGACACCUACAGACUCAGAGCAAUAGCUACAAAGAAGAUCCACCAAGUCUGGAGCCUUUGACAGUGCAGUUAUUUCAGACACCAUUGGCUAUGCUGCGGGAUCAGCAUCAGCCUGACCUGAUUUUUGUGAAGAGUCCUAAGAAUCUAAAAUGCUUGCUUCUGGGAAAAGGAAUUCGAAUAGUUUAGAAAACAUGUCCCCGUGUUUCCAGGUAUACAAUGUUUAACAUCUGCAAAGGCUGAAGAUUUGCAUUCCUGCCAUUUAUUUUGUGCAUCAUUCUAAUUACAUGAGCAAAUUCUUCUGGAACAGCCUUGACUAAUAAGGUAGGCUGCAAAGGAAUCCAGGACUUGGUCCAUGUAAUGACGGAUAUGUCUGUCAACAAAAUGCCUUGACAAGAUUUCUUAAAUGAGUCUCCCCAAGCACAUUAUUCACACUUGAUCCGCACCCAGAAGCAAGACUUCUAAAGUUUUACCAGCAACAGGGAAACAAAUGCACAACCAGUCAGAAGCCAAGAAUUUGGACAAAUCACAUUAGAAAUUGUCAUUAAUUUCAGUUUCACAGAUUCUUUAAUCCAUUUAGAUUAGGAGAAGAAAGAUGUUUAAGGCAGAAAUCUCCCACAACAGAUGACUUAAACAUUCCUUUUGCGAACAUCACCGAACAGGGGAAAACGCAAGUCUAAAUCAAGUGCCUCUUACGACAAGGUCCUGUGCUCGUCAGCACGGCUCUAAGCAGACACAAGACUGGCAUCCCUGGGAAGAGACAGUCGUAAUCCCAU